rnacentral:rRNA from 1 species
UACGUAGGGUGCGAGCGUUGUCCGGAAUUAUUGGGCGUAAAGAGCUCGUAGGCGGUCUGUCGCGUCGGAUGUGAAAACCCAGGGCUCAACCCUGGGCGUGCAUUCGAUACGGGCAGACUAGAGUAUGGCAGGGGAGACUGGAAUUCCUGGUGUAGCGGUGAAAUGCGCAGAUAUCAGGAGGAACACCGGUGGCGAAGGCGGGUCUCUGGGCCAAAACUGACGCUGAGGAGCGAAAGCUAGGGGAGCGAACGGG